rnacentral:rRNA from 1 species
UACGGAGGGUGCAAGCAUUGAUCGGAAUUACUGGGCGUAAAGGGCGCGUAGGCGGUUAGGAAAGUCAGAUGUGAAAUUCCGGGGCUCAACCCCGGAGCUGCAUUUGAAACUUCCAAACUAGAGUUUAGUUAGGGAAAACGGAAUUCCACGUGUAGCGGUGAAAUGCGUAGAUAUGUGGAAGAACACCGGUGGUGAAGACGGUUUUCUGGGCUAACACUGACGCUGAGGCGCGAAAGCAAGGGGAGCAAACAGG